UCCUACGGGAGGCAGCAGUGAGGAAUUUUGGACAAUGGGGGAAACCCUGAUCCAGCCAUCCCGCGUGUGCGAUGAAGGCCUUCGGGUUGUAAAGCACUUUUGGCAGGAAAGAAACGUCAUGGGUUAAUACCCCGUGAAACUGACGGUACCUGCAGAAUAAGCACCGGCUAACUACGUGCCAGCACCCGCGGUAAUA
rnacentral:rRNA from 1 species